rnacentral:rRNA from 1 species
ACGGGAGGCAGCAGUGGGGAAUAUUGGGCAAUGGGCGAAAGCCUGACCCAGCAACGCCGCGUGAGGGAAGAAGGGUUUCGGCUCGUAAACCUCUGUCCUAUGGGACGAAGGAAGUGACGGUACCAUAGGAGGAAGCCCCGGCUAACUACGUGCCAGCAGCCGCGGUAAUACGUAGGGGGCGAGCGUUGUCCGGAAUGAUUGGGCGUAAAGGGCGCGUAGGCGGCCCGUUAAGUCUGGAGUGAAAGUCCUGCUUUUAAGGUGGGAAUUGCUUUGGAUACUGAUGGGCUCGAGUGCAGGAGAGGAAAGCGGAAUUACCGGUGUAGCGGUGAAAUGCGUAGAGAUCGGUAGGAACACCAGUGGCGAAGGCGGCUUUCUGGACUGAAACUGACGCUGAGGCGCGAAAGCGUGGGGAGCAAACAGGAUUAGAUACCCUGGUA